rnacentral:tRNA from 1 species
GUUCUUGUAGCUUACACAAAGCAUGGCACUGAAGAUGCCAAGACGGCUGCCACCAACACCCAAGAACA